rnacentral:rRNA from 1 species
AGGUUUGAUCAUGGCUCAGAUUGAACGCUGGCGGCAUGCCUUACACAUGCAAGUCGAACGGCAGCACGGGAGCAAUCCUGGUGGCGAGUGGCGAACGGGUGAGUAAUAUAUCGGAACGUGCCCAAUCGUGGGGGAUAACGUAGCGAAAGCUACGCUAAUACCGCAUACGAUCUAUGGAUGAAAGCGGGGGAUCGCAAGACCUCGCGCGAUUGGAGCGGCCGAUAUCAGAUUAGGUAGUUGGUGGGGUAAAAGCCUACCAAGCCUUCGAUCUGUAGCUGGUCUGAGAGGACGACCAGCCACACUGGAACUGAGACACGGUCCAGACUCCUACGGGAGGCAGCAGUGGGGAAUUUUGGACAAUGGGCGCAAGCCUGAUCCAGCAAUGCCGCGUGCAGGAUGAAGGCCUUCGGGUUGUAAACUGCUUUUGUACGGAACGAAACGGUUCUUUCUAAUAAAGAGGGCUAAUGACGGUACCGUAAGAAUAAGCACCGGCUAACUACGUG